GUUUUCUUUAAGUUCCCAGAAUGUUCUAGGAGAAUGUUCUCUAUAAACAUCCUUACAACGGUUUGUGAUAAUGUUCUUACAAUGUAACAAAUUAAAAUAUUGCUACAUUAUACCCUGAUGUUAUAAUUAUAUUUUUUUUGGUGGAAGUUUCCUUUAAGUUCCCAGAAUGUUCUGGGAGAAUGUAAAACAGUCUAAGAAUAUUUUGUGAUGACUUUGUUACAAUCUCAUAAAUGAAAACAUUGCUACAACAUUAUACCCAAAUGUUCUUCAAAAUGUUCACAGCUGGCAGUGUUAGAAUGAUACAGUUUAAGAAGUGGAUAACAUGCGUUGAAAAAAAAAUCUAUAAAUGUUAUCUUAUGGUAUUUAAACAUUGAAAUGACAUCACCUUUCAAUUUCAAGAUUAAAGUUUACUGAGUGAACACUGGUCAUGAGGAUCACUGAUUAAUUACUUCAAAAUAGAAUUGGACCACGAACCCAUGUAAAUGUUUCACAACACUCAUUUAUUUAAACACUUUAAAAAAAAAAAAAUAGAGAGGGAGAGAGAAAGAUUUUUAAUAACAGGCCAAGCGGGUUGAUGCUCUGUUAGCAGCCUGCAUCGGUUUUCAUAAACAAAUAUCUAAGCAGCACCUUAAGGAGGACGCGUCGCUGGUGUGACUGAGCAGUGGCCAAACAGCAAAUUCUCUGGAUGUGAAAGUUUGGAGGAGUCCUGAUCCUCUUUUCUCCACUUCCACUCGUGCCAUAUAUGUGUCAGAUUCGUAUGACAGGAUUGCGCAGCUCCCCUCCGACACUGCAGGAUCACCGUCUGGUCUGGGUCCACUUGCCUCAUUCACCUGCAUAAUAAAAAAAAAGAGUAUUUAAAAACUGUUUAUGAUUCAUUACUGAUUCAGUAAUUAUUGCAAAUAACCAAUAAUAUCCAAAUAAAGCAGAUAAGUUAAUCUAGUGAUAAUGAUGUGUUGUCGGUGGUGGGGAGAAGAGGCAGCCACGCCACCAACUAUGCUGGUAAAAGCUCCCUGCGUUUGAUAUACUUUCCCUUUCCCUUGAAAUCAAGGACCAUGGAUAGGAUUUGACCUAUGAGAUUAAAAGAAAACCACCAAAGAAAAGAAAAAGGAAAUCUGACCGAGAUAAAACAAGAGAUGACAUCGGGGUAUCUUUCCCCAGGUAGAGAAAACUCAUGAGGGUUAAGAACCUGAAAAUGGACGCGGAGGUUGCAACCUUUUUGCUAGGCGGGUAAAUAAAUCAAACAUUAAAAUUUUAUCUUGACAUAAUGUUACAAACCAGAGCAGUGUAGUCCCACAACUACUUUCACCGUGCAUUAGUGAUAAGAAGAGUACUAUACAAAUGAUGAGCGCUAUAAAAUUGAUGAGCGCUAUGCAAAUGCUAAGUUAAGUGAGUAAACCCACGCAACUUCACUCCGAACUACAUAAUAAACUACAAUGCACCAUUGAACACAUCCUUGUCUGCAGUGUAUCACUUGGCGUAUUAAAUUCUAAUUUCUAGAAUUCAUGCAAUGUUACUACUACUUAAAGAACUAUACCUAAUGACAGAAAAAAGUCUCAAUGUGCAUCAAAAUUUGCAAAUAUGCUCACAUUUUAUCACAAAUUGUACGGCAAUGAACAUGUUUUUUAACAAAUCAAAACACUGACCUGCGUCCCUCUGUGAGGGGCAUAUCUCAUCAUAUCUGAGAUGCAGGUAUCUAUCAGCUUUAGCAGUGUCUUGAGGUGGUUCCUUUGGCAAGCCUCUAAAAAUAAAGUGAGACAGAGAAAAAUGGUUUAGAAAAGCAGAAAUUCAGAAACACGUAUGCUAGUUUAGCAAAAAGGCUAGCGCAUGCAUCUGUCUUAAAGCUAUGAUCUACCAUUUGUAAUUAUUAUUAAAUACAUUUAUAUGGCUUUUAUGGUCAUAUAGUCCGAUCCACACAACAUGAAGAGCAAAAAGAACUAAAAAAAAAUCCAUUCUGUCUAGCAGCUGCAGGACUGCAGAGAAAUUGACCAGUACUAUCCCUUUGUCACGGAUGGCUCACUUUGGCUUGUACCCUACAGCCAAUCCCCUCAACUCCCCUGCUCCUCGUCAUCUUGAGACAUCCUACCUUGUCCCCAUCCCUUCCACAUUUGUAACCGCAGCUCAGCUACAGACUUUGAAACCAAGAAUUCAGAGCCUGCUUGACCCCUCUCCCCCUAGCAGGCCUGCCACUGAAAGCCCCAUAUG